GCCUGCCCUAUGGGCAAAAAAAAAAGCAACUGUCUGUGCCUCUGUGGAUAAGUUUAAGUUUUUUCGUUUUUUCAGACAAAUAGGUAGCAAUAUAGUAUAAAUAUUGUGAUACCUGCUUAGUUUUAAUAUUUCCCUAUUGUUCUUAAAAUUUCAGGCUUAAUAAACAGGCUUAUUACACAUAGUAUUGAUAACCAUUAUCAUGAGUGAAAUAACAAAGGGUGACUUUAGACAAAAAGUUACGCCUGUGGGAAACUCCUGGAUAGUAUGCAAAUCUAAACGCCAUCAAGGCCAUGUCUACUAUUUUAACAGUUUAACUGGAGAAGCCGCCUGGAAUUUAAGUGAUGCUGAAAUUGAAAAGGCAAAGUGCAGGACACAACAACUUGAGUGCAUUCCAGGCGCUCAACCAACAACAUGUCCAGAACCAAAAGAUAAGCCACCUGGCACUCCUUAUAAACCAUUUAUUUUCAACAAUGUGACAGAACAACAGUCCUCAGUUUUUAGAUUUGGUAAUAGUAAUGCAACUGUAUGUACCAAUUUGAGCCAGGUAUCGGGGGUGAUGCAAGGUUCUCAGAUCAAUAAUCCUACCUCGAUAAAACCUGUGCAGUUGAUUCCUUUCAACAAUCAUAUAACUACAUAUACUGUAAACAGUACUACUUCCCUUUAUAAUCCAAAAGUGUGGGAUGUUCCUGAAACACAGCAAAUUUAUGUGGGACCCACAACGGCUCCUCUGCUGAACCAAACUGCUUACCCUAUAAAUGUUGGAUUUAGCAACUUAUCGCAGCCAUUGCCAGGAGCUUUAAAGCAAGGUGAAAAUACAAACACAUCAAGAACAUAUUACCCCAGAGAUAAUAAUUAUGACAAAAGAGGUAAUAGAGGAAUCAAUAAGAAAGUUGCAUAUCCUAUAAAUGAUCUAAGGCAGAAGAUACUGAAAAAAAAACGAUUUCAUAGGAAGCAGUCUAGUUUUUCUCAAGGAUCUGGUAAUAAAGGUAAUGCCAGAAAACCAGAAACCUCAUCUCACAAUGCUCCAAAUGAUGACGCGACUGAUUCGGUUAAUGUAAAUGAUGGCACGAAGAAGGGGUGCUCAAAAGCUAAUUUACAGGAAGUCCCAUCAAAGUUUAAUGUAAUGCCUUUAAAACGUCUGGCUCCACUCGGUUCUAGUCUAGAUGCUUGGUUUAUAAUUGUUGAUUUGGGUGUGCUCCUGAAUGAAUUUAAAUUUGUUACCACGUUGACAGAUUCAGAUGAAAAAUGCCACCUUAUGGUUCCGAAAAGGAUUAUGGAAGAACUAAAAACAUUUGUUACUUGUACACAAAAUAUACAAGCCAGACGCAUUUUACGAUUUUUGUCACAACAGAUUGAGACAGGAUAUGCUAACAUGGCUGAAGAGCCCUGUAACCUCCAAAGAAAUGAUAUGGCAGAGGUGCUACUUAAAACUUGUGAAUAUUUGAGGGAUAAAAAAUAUCAUGUGGUUCUUAUCUCCGACGACAAUGAGGUUUUAACCAAGGCCUCGUCUAACAUACCUGUGUUUACUAUAGCCAGGAUUAAAAACCUUGUAUUCGAUUAUUCUAAUAAACAAACUGAAUUACCUAUAUGUGUUAAAAAACCGUUUUCAAUCGACAAAUUAUUCAAAAAAGUUCAAAUAACUGCGCCAAAGAAUUCCUCACAAGUGACAGAAACUGUCGGAACUGAUACAGAUACAUUACAUAUUGAUGGGCAAGGAAUACAAAAACAUAAUACAAUACAAGAAGUAAAUAACGUAAAAAAACAUAGCACACUAGAAACAUGUAAACGAAAACUAAGAGAGAAACAAGAUAAAAUAGAACAAUGUGUAUUGGUGAAACACACAGUUGACACAGGUAUUCAAACUGAUUUUGAAGAUGUCAAUGAAAGCACUAGAGCCUUAGAAAAACAAAUUGAAAAGGUUCCAGAGACUCUUCAAAACAAAAAAGAUAUAAGAACUGUCCCGGAACCUUCACAUAUAAAUGUUGCAGAGAACAAGAGUGAAAUUAACUUAGUAAGUAUUGAUGAAGAUCAAGCACCAAAUCUUGAUACUAAAAAGAGACGGUCUAAACGGGGCAGAAAGAGAAAAACAGCGCCUAAACGGGGCCAAAAGACAAACACAGCGCCUCCGCCCAUUGAACAGAAAUCAUCUCGUAGCGACGAAAAGUCUAUUGUGGAGACGAUCGAAUCUCCUAGUAAAAAUACGACAGAUGUCGUACAAAUAGCCAAGAUCGAGGCCGAUAAUACUAUUAUAGAUGAAAGCAAUGAGAGGUAUACCACCACCAUUGAGAAACCUUCAACUUUGGCUACAAUAUCUAACUCGGAUAGUAAUGUCGCCACAAUUCGGGAAGUCGAUCCACAGAUAGCAGAAGAAAGUAAUAGCGUGUUCAAAAGUGUGGUGUUACGUAUAUUGACAGCAAUAAGAGAAGCACUAAAUAUAGCACAACUUUUAAGCGUACAAUGUCACACAGAACUGAAGAAGCCACGAAUAUCGUCAAAGGUGAAAGGUGAAUUGAAAACAAAGGUCGAAAAAGCGCAUGUGACUCUUAUUGCCAUCUGUAGAGAGUUAGAAAGAAUGGUGAAUAACGAGUCGGAGACUAUCGAUAAAAUGCGUAAGAUAUUGAAAAGAGUGAAUAUUGACAUCAGAAAUGUGGACCCAGCGCUAAUCGAACAGUACAAAUUAUCUCUCAUCAAUUUCAAGGAUAUCGCGGAUGAAUUCCUUGACACAUAUCAGACAAUAAAAUCGUCUUUCGGUACUUAAAUAUUAUUUAAAAAGUUAAGUUUUUUUAUGAGUCUAUAGUCGUAUCUUUUCGUUUGCGGUUAUAAAAUACUCAUAAUUAGCGUUAAGAAGUUUUUGUUAACAUGUACAGCCUGAAUGUAUGUACCUAGUUGUAAACGCGCGUUAUGAACUUGUCAUCUGAACGUAGCCUAAUACUUGCUACGCUCGUACACAGCUUGUUAAAUUUUUUUUCUAUUACAGUUGAUUUCUAUUAAAUAAAUAAUAAUAAAUAACAGCCUAAAUGUAUGAAAUUGUAAACGCGAGUUAUCAAAACGCGCGUUGUGCUCUUGUCAUCUGAACGUAGCCUAACACAUGCUACGCUCGUACACAGCUUGUUAAAGUUUUUUUCUAUUACAGUUGAUUUCUAUUUAAUAAAUAAUAAUAAAUAACAGCCUGAAUGUAUGAAGUUGUAAAGGCGAGUUAUCAAAACGCGCGUUGUGCUCUUGUCAUCUGAACGUAGCCUAAUACUUGCUACGCUCUUACACAGCUUGUUAAAGUUUAUUUUUUUCUAUUACAGUUGAUUUCUAUUAAAUAAGUAAUAACACUGGUCAACAAAUUAUUAUUAUUAUUUUUUUGGUGCAAAUGUGAAAUACACAAUUUCUUGUAGUAUAUUUGAUACGUAAUCGAAGUCCAUAACAUAAAGUUGCACUAGCACGUAGGGAUUUAGAGAUAUACCCCUCCUAAAGUACCAAAAACGCGUCUUUUAUGAAAUUUGAUGUUAUUUUUUGGGUACAGCAGAAUUUUAUAGUAAUUUCUAACUAAAGCGUUAAGUAUAUAGUACUACUUUCCCCGCAUUAACCCCAUUUUAAUUAAUAUUUUUGCAAAACAUUUUUUCUCAAUAUAUACCAUUUUAUAUCUAAAGUGGAGUUUUUUCAUACUAACAGACCAAUUAAAUAUAGGGAAGAUAGAAUUAUCGUAGCUGUAUAUAUAUUUCAUGAAAAUUUAUAGCGUUCGAAAUAAAAAUGAAUUUCAAUCGGGAAGAGUAGUACUUUAAAAUGCUAUUGAUAGAAACUAAAAAACAAUUUUGCUGUCCUUCAAAAAAAUCGUUAAAUAUCGUUAAAAAACGCGUUUUUGGUACUUUAGGAGGGGUAUGUCCCUAAAUCCCGACGUUCUAGUGCAACUUUAUGUUCUGGACUUCGAUUACGUAUCAAAUAAUCUAUAAAAAUUAUAUAUUUCACCUUUGCACCAAAACUGCUGUUGACCAGUGUAAUAAAUAACAGCCUGAAUGUAUGAAGUAGUAAAAGCGCGUUGUGCGCUUGUCAUCUGAACGUAGCCUAACACUUGGUACGCUCGUACACAGCUUGUUAAAGUUUUUUUUCUAUUAAAUAUAUAAUAAUAAAUUAA
rnacentral:misc_RNA from 1 species